rnacentral:tRNA from 1 species
GGAAGCGCUCGGGGGCUGGUGCCUCCCGCGGUCUUCAAAACCGUAGUUCGGUGGGUGAACGCUCAGCGAGGGUGGGUUCGAUUCCCAUGCGCUUCCGCCA